rnacentral:rRNA from 1 species
GCUUGUAGCCACACCCAUACGCCCCAUCUCGUCUGAUCCUGCAAGCCAAGCAGGGUCGGGCCUGGGGGGUGCUUGGAUGGGGGGGGCACCUGGGAAAACCAGGUGCUGUCAGCU